AAUACGACGACGAUGUCACCUCCGUGGAAAGACGUGAAAACGAAAAUUCGUUAAGGGUAUGUCAAAUGUCUACGCUAUAGAGCCAAACUAUCUUCUAUGAAGCAGACUAAACUACAUUGGCAAUACACUUAAAAAGAUUUUACGAUGUUUUCACAAGUUUGAAGAACCAUUAACUAUCUUCUUCUUCAGUGGUCUCAGUUGCUAACAUCGAUUACGAUCUCGUCAAAGACGCCGGCGCCUCAAAGAUUGAAGAUGACCGGGAGCAGACGAUACUGAUGACGACGACGACGACGACGACGACGACGACGACUAAGUACGACCGACAAACCCCCCUCAAGACUAAUAAUAAUAAUAGAAAGAAAACGAGAAGAGUUGAAAAAGAAGAAAGAAGAGAAAAAGAAAAAUCAUUAAAAAAGAAGAUACGAAAGAAAGAAAGAAAAAGAGGGAGAAACUGAAUAUAUGAAUGAACAUUUCAAUGCAUAUAUUUAAAUUUGCUUUAAAUUCUUAUCUCUCUGUCUCUCUCUCUCUCUUUCCUUU
rnacentral:lncRNA from 1 species